GUGCUCGCUUCGGCAGCACAUAUACUAAAACUGGAACGAUACAGAGAAGAUUAGCACGGCCCCUGCACUAGGAUGACAUGCAAAUUCUAUGUAUAUGUAUAACUGAUU